rnacentral:rRNA from 1 species
UACGGAGGGUGCAAGCGUUAAUCGGAAUUACUGGGCGUAAAGCGUGCGCAGGCGGUUUGUUAAGUCUGCUGUGAAAUCCCCGAGCUCAACUUGGGAAUUGCAGUGGAUACUGGCAAGCUGGAGUACGGUAGAGGAAGGUGGAAUUCCCGGUGUAGCAGUGAAAUGCGUAGAGAUCGAGAGGAACACCAGUGGCGAAGGCGGCCUUCUGGACCAGUACUGACGCUCAUGCACGAAAGCGUGGGGAGCAAACAGG